rnacentral:lncRNA from 1 species
UUACUUCACAUGCAUGCCAAAUGCUGUAGGAGAGAGGAAUGAACUCUUUCUUUAGAGAGGAAAGAAAAGAAUACUUGAGAUCUAAUCUCAAGCCCUUGAAACAGCCCACAUGCCAUCACAAAGGGAGGGAGGAAGCCAAGAGGAGAGAGAUGCCCAAUGCUAGGUGAUGCCCAAGAGAGAGGGGAAACCGACACCAAGGGAUCUCCAUGCCAAGCCC